UACGUAGGGUGCAAGCGUUAAUCGGAAUUACUGGGCGUAAAGCGUGCGCAGGCGGUGAUGUAAGACAGUUGUGAAAUCCCCGGGCUCAACCUGGGAACUGCAUCUGUGACUGCAUCGCUGGAGUACGGUAGAGGGGGAUGGAAUUCCGCGUGUAGCAGUGAAAUGCGUAGAUAUGCGGAGGAACACCGAUGGCGAAGGCAAUCCCCGUGGACCUGUACUGACGCUCAUGCAC
rnacentral:rRNA from 1 species